CCCUUAGAUGUUCUGGGCCGCACGCGUGCUACACUGACGAAUGCAACGAGCUUAUAACCUUGGCCGAAAGGUCUGGGUAAUCUCCAAAUUUCGUCGUGAUGGGGAUAGAUUAUUGCAAUUAUUAAUCUUCAACGAGGAAUGCCUAGUAAGCGCAAGUCAUCAGCUUGCGUUGAUUACGUCCCUGCCCUUUGUACACACCGCCCGUCGCUCCUACCGAUUGAAUGGUCCGGUGAAGCGUUCGGACCGUGGCCUUUGGACGGUUCGCCGUCUGUUGGCUGCGGGAAGUUCGUUAAACCUUAUCAUUUAGAGGAAGGAGAAGUCGUAACA
rnacentral:rRNA from 1 species